AACCAAGGGUUCUGCCUGGGAAAUCGCCUGUGCAUAAUGAGACGACCUGCUCUGCCAUUCUCAAUGCUUCGACGCUGUUGGUUCCAGCGUAAAGGGUGGGGAUAGUGUAUCAUUACACCGUCUUCAACCAUCCCGCAACCAUCCUACAACCAUUCUCAAUAUGACAAAGCACCUUCAAUGAAUCCAGGCAUGUCUAUAUUUAUUUAUAGACCACUCAGGCUUUUAUGUGCUCUUUAGUAGAGCUCAUACUCUGUGACCCAUUUUUGCAUUAAAUUCGAUGGGGGAAUUCUUUUCAGUCUCCGAAAUGUGGACAAUUUCACUCAUAUUGUCGGACUGUCUUCUUUGUUGCAUUUUUUUCAUUGCAAAUACUCCGAAUAGAUAUAUGUUAACUGGCUAAAUGUAUCAUUAGGAUUAAUUAUGUUAUUUUAAUGUUAAGUGAGACAAACCUUGGUUGUAAAUGUCAAAUAAAAGUCUGAAUUCUGAGUUCCCAUGAAUCUCAGUGCCAUAAUGUUGUACAAUUGGAACAAAUAAACCAAGAAAUGCCAUAGCCAUGUCUCAUUGUCUCAAUGUCAUGUUGUCCAUAUUGUGUUAUAUUUGUAGAAUGUCAAUGACGCCACACAUUCAUUUAGUCAUUAUCUGGUGACAGUUGGUAAAUAUUAUGUAAACUAUUAAAUGAAUGAUUCUGUUUUCAUAUGCAACAUAUCUGUCUUCAUUUUGGGUCUACCAUGUUUAAGUAUCAAGGUGAAGGGCAUAUGGAACGAAAUGGACAAACACAAUGAAGUCACAGGGCCUAUGGAGAGCAAUGGACAAACACAAUGAAGUCACACCAAAACAUCGGGAUAACUAAGAAAGCCAGUAACUUUACUGAAUUCUCUGCAAAAUACAAAUACCUUUCCCCAGCAGAAUAAACUUUUAUUUCAGGUUCCAUGCUUUUUCACUACAUACAGCUGAAUCAAGUCCCGAGAGAUACAGAGAUGUGGUUUUAAUUUAAUAACAUCGUAUCUUCAAGUUGCGACAAAGGCCAGCUUAUGCCGCUGAAAGCCGCUCUUGCGUUCCAAACACUAAUUUCAGACAGCCACAAUUUUCCGAUUUAUACAAGCUACAUGAGAUACUACAGACUGGUAAGUAUUUUUAGCUAUUCACACACACACACACACACACACACACACACACACACACACAUACACACACACAUUUAUAUAUAUUUAUAUAUAUAUAUAUAUAUAUAUUAGUAUAUAUAUAUAUAUAUAUAUAUA